UACGUAGGGGGCAAGCGUUGUCCGGAAUCAUUGGGCGUAAAGCGCACGUAGGCUGUCUGCUAAGUCGGUUGUGAAAGCCCCCGGCUCAACCGGGGAAUUGCGUUCGAUACUGGCAGGCUGGAGGACGGUUGGGGUGAGUGGAACUCCAGGUGGAGCGGUGAAAUGCGUAGAUAUCAGGAAGAACACCAAUGGCGAAGGCAGCUCUCUGGGACGGUACUGACGCUGAGACGCGAAAGCGUGGGGAGCGAACAGG
rnacentral:rRNA from 1 species